rnacentral:lncRNA from 1 species
CAUUUUGCCACUAAGCAAAUAUCUCAGCUAUAAGGAAUUUAGAAUUACCCAUGUAUUUCAAAAGGACUAAAAGAUCUCAAUUUAGAAACACUUUGCACACAACCAUUUGAGUUAUUUAAAAACAAACUAUAGUUCUUUUAAAAUACUUAUUUAUUCAGACUUUCCAUAUAUUUAGCCUGCUGUAACCUGGAAGAAAUCCAAACUGGUGAGGUUUUAUUGAACAUUCAUUUACAGAACAAACAUUUAAGUGGAAGAUUGUUUUGAAAGAGGGAGAAACAUACCUUUUCACUUCCUAUGACUUCUUACCUUGCUGAAGUUCAACUGUUUCCUCUAUUUUCAAAGUAUCACAAAAAUACUCUGGGGGAUAAACUUACAAAUUAUCACAUCUUAAAGAAAUAAUCCAUGUUAGAAAAUAAACAUCUGUCAAAGUCACUAUCAUUUUUUCUAAAUUAGGACUUCAAAG